GCCCGGGUGGCGAAAUUGGUAGACGCAGGGGACUUAAAAUCCCCCGGAUAUAGCAUCUGUGCCGGUUCGAGUCCGGCCCCGGGCACCA
rnacentral:tRNA from 1 species